AGGCGCGGAAUUUCCCCGCCGCCUCCAGAAGAAGUUUCCCAGACUUGGCGGGGAGCGGAGGGGCAGAGCCGAGCCCUUGGGGGCCCCGCUCCCCACGGGGCCGCGCAGCCGGGGCCGCGCUGGCUUUGGGAUGCUCCGGGGGGCACCUCCGGGCCGGGGGGGCUCCCGUCCUCACCCCCCCCGGGCCGUGGGCAGCCCUCCCCGCACCGGGUACCCGAGCCCCGAGCGGUGCCACCGGAGGCUCCAGGCUGUUCCCAGCGCCGUGCUGAGCACCCCGGGACCGGCUGCGCCCCGGGUACCCCCUCCCGGUGCCCGGUACCCCCCCGAGGCGAGGCGCCGCGCUCCCUUCCGCGCCCCCGGCCGCCACGGAGCAGCCCGAGAGGCCACCCCCGGAGCUGUCCCCUUCGUCCCCUGUCCCCCCUUUCCCCCCUCCUAAGCCGCGGGGUUCGCCCACCUCGGGUGCCCGCUGGGUGCCGGGCGCGGCGCUGCGCUCCGCGGGGCUCCCGGUGCGCUCCCGGCCGCAGCAUCCCCGGCGCGGCGGCGGCGGCGGCGGCGGCAGAGGAGGAGCCUGGAGCCGGGAGCCCCGCUCAUCGGCCCGCCCCGGAGCAGCCCCCGGCCUUUGUGUCCCGGCCGUGCCCCCCCCCCCAGCCCCGCCCGCAGCUCCCCCUUCCCUCCCCGGCUGCCGCAAGCAGCGCCCCGCAGCGCGGUGCCGGCCCGGGGACGGGGGGGGCUCUCGGAGGCAGCCCCCCAGCACCACCGGCUGCGGUUUGGGGAAGGGGAUUUUCUGUGCUCCACACCGGGGGCGAGCCCCCGGGUCCGGCUCUGGCCAUAGAUGGGGCUGAGGGAGAGCGAGGGGUGCUGCGAGGGGACGCUUGGCACCAUGGAAGUGGAGCCUCCAGUACCCCGAACUGGGGCAGCCGCUGGGCUGAGCCACAGCUCGUCCACACAGCGGAAAUAAUGCCGCGUUCCCCGAGCCUCCGACCGCGGGGAGCUGAUCUGCAGGGCCGUGGCCAGAGAUAUCCGAAGGGCAGGUGGGGAAACUGA
rnacentral:lncRNA from 1 species